UUGUUUUUGUUAUGAUAUUACAUUCAUUACUAACAGUUUGUGAUGGCCGAAGCCACAGUUCACGGUGUGUAUGGAAGCUCCCCCCUGAGGAGAAGCUAGAUCUGAGCCAAUGACUUGCGUCAAUCAGCACUAUUAAUGAUCCUUCCGCAGGUUCACCUACGGAAA
rnacentral:misc_RNA from 1 species